rnacentral:rRNA from 1 species
GAUGAACGCUGCCAGAAUGCUUAACACAUGCAAGUCAACUUGAACUUCGGUUUGGGUGGCGGACGGGUGAGUAACGCGUAAAGAACUUGCCUCACAGAUAGGGACAACAUUUGGAAACGAAUGCUAAUACCUGAUAUUAUGAUUUUAGGGCAUCCUAGGAUUAUGAAAGCUAUAUGCGCUGUGAGAGAGCUUUGCGUCCCAUUAGCUAGUUGGAGAGGUAACGGCUCACCAAGGCGAUGAUGGGUAGCCGGCCUGAGAGGGUGAUCGGCCACAAGGGGACUGAGACACGGCCCUUACUCCUACGGGAGGCAGCAGUGGGGAAUAUGGGACAAUGGACCAAGAGUCUGAUCCAGCAAUUCUGUGUGCACGAUGAAGUUUUUCGGAAUGUAAAGUGCUUUCAGGUGGGAAGAAAAAAAUGACGGUACCAACAGAAGAAGUGACGGCUAAAUACGUG